rnacentral:rRNA from 1 species
GACGAACGCUGGCGGCGUGCCUAAUACAUGCAAGUUGAGCGAUGAAGAUUGGUGCUUGCACCAAUUUGAAGAGCAGCGAACGGGUGAGUAACGCGUGGGGAAUCUGCCUUUGAGCGGGGGACAACAUUUGGAAACGAAUGCUAAUACCGCAUAACAACUUUAAACAUAAGUUUUAAGUUUGAAAGAUGCAAUUGCAUCACUCAAAGAUGAUCCCGCGUUGUAUUAGCUAGUUGGUGAGGUAAAGGCUCACCAAGGCGAUGAUACAUAGCCGACCUGAGAGGGGGAGCGGCGACGUUGGGACUGGGACACGGCCCAAACUCCUACGGGAGGCAGCAGUAGGGAAUCUUCGGCAAUGGACGAAAGUCUGAACGAGCAACGCCGCGUGAGUGAAGAAGGCUUUCGGAUCGUAAAACUCUGUUGGUAGAGAAGAACGUUGGUGAGAGUGGAAAGCUCAUCAAGUGACGGUAACUACCCAGAAAGGGACGGCUAACUACGUG